AUAAAAGCACAGAUAAGCGAGAGUAAACUAUUAACCGUAUUCAGAGAGUGACCGUUUGAUGAAAGGUCAUUACGUUUAAUUCUUGAAAGUAGGCUUUGAGCUGUAGAUGCGAACCUGAGUGUCUAAUGGAUGCCACCAUUAAAAGGCCAGUGAUUCCGGAUCAGUCCGCGAUCAUUAAGGUUGAGUUUAUUCUCAACAAAAUUAAGGUGGUACCGUGCAUCUAAUGCGCCCUUCGA
rnacentral:ncRNA from 1 species